CACACAUACAGAUGUAUUGUGUUGCUGUGUCUCGCUCUGCUCACUCACAGUCACACACAGAACAGCUCUCUGUCUCUCCCUCAGUCACUCGGGUUCGCGGGUCUUUUCCGUUAACGUUUAGGGUUUCUUCAGCUUUUUACUUCGGGUUGUAACGUUAAUAAUACGUACUUACUAACCAGUAGAGUUCUGGUAAACGUGGGUUCGUUCAGAUGUGGUGCUUGCUUGGUAGAUUCGCAUUGCGUCUCUGCCUGUCGGAGAUUUUUUUCUUUUUUAAACCUUCAGCUGUCUCUAACCAGUAACCAGACACUGAGUGUCUGACACAUUUUUGCUGUAUUUCAUAAAAACAUAAAGGUAGUAAGCUAGUGUUAUAAAUAUUACAAAUGAAUUAUUAAGCUACACUCACACACACACACACACCUGGUGUGGAAAUAAAAAUCACAUCACACUGAUCAUAAAAAAAUUAAAAGUUAAAAAAGAAAGUUAUGUUGUUGUUUACAUUUUACUUCAUAAUUGCACUGCAUUGUUUUGUUUUCAUUGUUGCAAAACUUGUUCUGUAAUAUAGUUUGUUUGCUAUCGGGAUCAAAACCAUUGAUCUGAAGCUCAAUCCUGAUGCUGUCCUGUAAAUAUUUUUCUAAUCAGCAAUAAAUAUAACAAUUUCUGAUCAACCCAUAUCAAUUGCAUGCUUAAAAUAACAUACCGGUUAAAGCCCCGCCCAUUUCAAGACAUGCACCGCCUACACCUGGGUUAGGCCCUACCCCCUCCGAGUACAGAUAGAUACAGAUAAUUCAUAUGGUAUACAGAUAAUGCUGUACUCGCUCAUCUCUACUUAGUAUUAAUUUGUUCACGAAAACCUUAUUAUUUUGUUUUCUAUCUUAUGUAGAGCCCUGCUAAAUUAGGGUCUAAUAAUUAUUUAGUUUGUAUUUUCUUUUACAGUAAACAGUUAAAAAUGAUUACUUGAUCCCAUAAUCCACCUCUUCUCGCAAUUCCUUCAAUCGCUUUUCAUAUUUUUCGCUCUCAAUUCUCUUGUUCUCCUCGUAAUGUAAACAAGUAGAAUUUCAUGAGUCCUGUUAUAAGUGAGAUCUGAUCUGUACAAAAAGAAAGAAGCAAACUUUAACGUGUGUUACCUACUGUAUAUGGUAAAUAAAAAUAAAAUAAAAAAAUGGUAAUAAAAGUGAAUACUCACGCUUCCUGCUGUUAAUGUGUGCUAGAAAGCUGUAUGAGGCUUUCAAAAAAUUAUUACAAAUAUUGCAGUACCUAAAAGGAAAAAGUACAUCACCUUUAAGAAAAUGUAUUAAAAUACUGCAUGAUGUCACAGUUUACAAGGGUUCACAGGGUUUGCACAUUGUAAUGACAUUUUUGCCAUUUUACCCACGCCUCCAGAGAAAUCCCUAUUUUCUAGUGGUGUGUAAAUAACAGUCAAAUAAGCAGUAAAUAACUAAACUAAAAUGGUUUGAUGUGGAGUUUGGAGAUGCAGUGUGACAAUGUGAAAAAGGACAUGUAGGCUUUCUGCAUAUAUCUGGUUCAGCAGAUGUUCAUCAGGGACCUACCCUCCCUUCUCAGCCUGGUGAGUGGUCAUUUUGUUGGACUCUGUGCUGGAGGGGGCGCUAGUUCUUUCUGUGGUUCUUUCUGAAAAUACAGAAAUAAAUGAAUCAAUUAAACACAAACUCGGUGGCCAUUUUAUUAGUGUCAUGACCAUCACUGAAAUCACUAGAUCUAAACUGAUUGUUCUGAGUUUUGUCAUUAAUCUUGCCAAGGAAUGAAGUUAUUGAAGUCAACAGAUGCUGCUGCUUUACACUUCAACUGGUUUACAUUAAAGUUGGGAUGCAUGAGGUUUGAAAAAUGCUUCAGAAAACGAACAAAACAAACGUGUAGCCAAUGAGCAGAAAGGGGCGUGUCUUGUCAAUAUGUGUGAUGGAUAUCAUCCUUUCAUUUUUAUUUAUUUACUUAGUAUUAAUUUGUUCACAAAAACCUUAUUAUUUUGUUUUCUAUCUUAUGUAGAGCCCUGCUAAAUUAGGGUCUAAUAAUUAUUUAGUUUGUAUUUUCUUUUACAGUAAACAGUUUAAAAAGAUUACUUUCAAACAAAAGAGAAAUAACUAAGAAAAUACUGUUAUAAAAAAAAUGUGGUGUUUAACCAAUGAGGUGAGUUUCUCUCUGACCUCUGGAGGUCAGAGGGCAGAGAGCAGGAAGCGAGUGAGUGAGAGAGACGGACGACACGAGGUGGCCGACAAACGUGCGCGAAUUGCACGGUCCACGUGAAAAAAACACUGUAAAGCUGAAAACUGAGUCUGUGGACUGCACACAAGGAAACUGAACAGAUAAGAGACUGCUAAGUAAAAUAAUCGUAAAUGAACUCUAUGUAGAGAGCGUAAGUGAGAGAGAGACUUGACUCAGCAUGCGUGCGUUCACGUGAGGGACCAAAGAUACCGCAGUUCUUUUACUCUCAGUGCUUGUGAGCUUUACGAGAUGCAUAUAGUCUCAAAAUUACAUAAAAUGGACUAUCACAAAGUUUAUUGACUGUACAAACGUUGCGGAAUGGUUUGCAAGGCCAAUAGUCAUAUACAGUAAGUGAGCAACGGAGAAACUGAAGGCUACGCGAUUCUUCAGGAGAGACCGAGGCCGCGUGGUGACGUCUGCUGCAACUUUGCCUCAUUUACAUCGUCGGAUGGGUGAUUAGCACAGUGUUUGUUCGUGGAUGGACGUCAGGGAAAAUCCUAUCGGCUGAUCGGAUUAUCGUGUUUUUCCAGUGGGUGCUUCGUUCUUGAGUUUCACUGUUCCAUUGGAUUUUGAAUGUGGCUGCAACACGUUUACCUUCGUCUGAUACUCGCAUGAGGGCACGCAGCAAGGCGAGCGACAUUCAUCCAGAAUGUGGCUGCAACACGUUCACCUUCGUCUGAUACUCGCACGAGGGCACGCAGCAAAGCAACUGGGAACAAAAAAGAGAAUGUGUCUGCAUCAGCUUUACCUUUACCAUCACCUGCUACUCACACACGCCGUAGGUCUCUUUCAGUUCUCAAAGCAACUGAGACUGUGUUCAGUUAAAUAGGAACUGUUUUGAGCAAUGGCAUGACGACAUUUAAACUCCAUUCUCAAAGAUUCACAGUGUGUGAUGGCUUACAAAUUUAUAUCUUAUUUUUUAUAUUGUAAAGA